CAUGCAGUCGAGGGAGAAGCAGACGUUCCGUAAGGUUCGACUGUGGAAACCGGCGAACGGGUGCGUAACACGUGAGAAACCUGCCCCCCAGAUCGGGAUAGCCCAGGGAAACUUGGAUUAAUACCGGAUACUCUCUUUGGAUCGCAUGAUCCGUUGAGGAAAAGUCCGCUGCUGGGGGAUGGUCUCGCGGCCUAUCAGCUUGUUGGUGAGGUAACGGCUCACCAAGGCUAAGACGGGUAGCUGGUCUGAGAGGACGAUCAGCCACACUGGAACUGAGAUACGGUCCAGACUCCUACGGGAGGCAGCAGCAGGGAAUAUUGCACAAUGGGCGAAAGCCUGAUGCAGCGACACCGCGUGCGGGAUGAAUGCCUUAGGGUUGUAAACCGCUUUCGGGAGGGAAGAAAAUGACGGUACCUCCUAAAGAAGCUCCGGCUAACUUCGUGCCAGCAGCCGCGGUAAUACGAAGGGAGCUAGCGUUGUUCGGAAUUACUGGGCGUAAAGCGCACGUAGGCGGACUUGUUAGUCAGGGGUGAAAUCCCGGGGCCCAACCUCGGAACUGCCUUUGAUACUGCAAGUCUGGAGUCCGGAAGAGGUGGGUGGAAUUCCUAGUGUAGAGGUGAA
rnacentral:rRNA from 1 species